rnacentral:rRNA from 1 species
GACGAACGCUGGCGGCGUGCUUAACACAUGCAAGUCGAACGCUGAAGCUCAGCUUUUGUUGGGUGGAUGAGUGGCGAACGGGUGAGUAACACGUGAGUAACCUGCCUCCUUCUUUGGGAUAACGCCCGGAAACGGGUGCUAAUACUGGAUAUUCACUGGUCUUCGCAUGGGGGUUGGUGGAAAGGGUUUUUCUGGUGGGGGAUGGGCUCGCGGCCUAUCAGCUUGUUGGUGGGGUGAUGGCCUACCAAGGCUUUGACGGGUAGCCGGCCUGAGAGGGUGACAGGUCACAUUGGGACUGAGAUACGGCCCAGACUCCUACGGGAGGAAGCAGUGGGGAAUAUUGCACAAUGGGCGCAAGCCUGAUGCAGCGACGCCGCGUGAGGGAUGGAGGCCUUCGGGUUGUGAACCUCUUUCGCUCAUGGUCAAGCCGCAACAAUGGUUGUGGUGAGGGUAGUGGGUAAAGAAGCGCCGGCUAACUACGUG